rnacentral:rRNA from 1 species
GACGAACGCUGGCGGCGUGCUUAACACAUGCAAGUCGAACGGAAAGGCCCUGCUUGCAGGGUACUCGAGUGGCGAACGGGUGAGUAACACGUGGGUGAUCUGCCCUGCACUUCGGGAUAAGCCUGGGAAACUGGGUCUACUACCGGAUAGGAGCCAUUUUUAGUGUGAUGGUUGGAAAGUUUUUUCGGUGUAGGAUGAGCUCGCGGCCUAUCAGCUUGUUGGUGGGGUAAUGGCCUACCAAGGCGGCGACGGGUAGCCGGCCUGAGAGGGUGGACGGCCACAUUGGGACUGAGAUACGGCCCAGACUCCUACGGGAGGCAGCAGUGGGGAAUAUUGCACAAUGGGCGCAAGACUGAUGCAGCGACGCCGCGGGGGGGAUGACGGACUUCGGGUUGUAAACUCCUUUCGCUAGGGACGAAGCUUUUUGUGACGGUACCUAGAUAAGAAGCACCGGCUAACUACGUG